rnacentral:rRNA from 1 species
UACGUAGGGUGCAAGCGUUGUCCGGAAUUAUUGGGCGUAAAGAGCGUGUAGGCGGCCCGAUUAGUCCGCUGUGAAAGUCCAGGGCUCAACCCUGGAAUGCCGGUGGAUACUGUCGGGCUAGAGUCCGGAAGGGGCGAGUGGAAUUCCCAGUGUAGAGGUGAAAUUCGUAGAUAUUGGGAAGAACACCGGUGGCGAAGGCGGCUCACUGGCUCAUUACUGACGCUCAUGCGCGACAGCGUGGGGAUCAAACAGG